rnacentral:rRNA from 1 species
CUCAAAGGAAUUGACGGGGGCCCGCACAAGCGGUGGAGCAUGUGGUUUAAUUCGAUGCAACGCGAAGAACCUUACCUGGGCUUGACAUGUCCGGAAUCCUGCAGAGAUGCGGGAGUGCCCUUCGGGGAAUCGGAACACAGGUGCUGCAUGGCUGUCGUCAGCUCGUGUCGUGAGAUGUUGGGUUAAGUCCCGCAACGAGCGCAACCCUUGUCCUUAGUUGCCAGCGGUUCGGCCGGGCACUCUAGGGAGACUGCCGGUGACAAACCGGAGGAAGGUGGGGAUGACGUCAAGUCCUCAUGGCCUUUAUGUCCAGGGCUACACACGUGCUACAAUGGCGCGUACAGAGGGACGCCAAACCGCGAGGUGGAGCAGACCCCAGAAAGCGCGUCGUAGUUCGGAUUGCAGUCUGCAACUCGACU